GCAGCGCGGGAGCAAUCCUGGCGGCGAGUGGCGAACGGGUGAGUAAUACAUCGGAACGUGCCCAAUCGUGGGGGAUAACGCAGCGAAAGCUGUGCUAAUACCGCAUACGAUCUACGGAUGAAAGCAGGGGACCGCAAGGCCUUGCGCGAAUGGAGCGGCCGAUGGCAGAUUAGGUAGUUGGUGAGGUAAAGGCUCACCAAGCCUUCGAUCUGUAGCUGGUCUGAGAGGACGACCAGCCACACUGGGACUGAGACACGGCCCAGACUCCUACGGGAGGCAGCAGUGGGGAAUUUUGGACAAUGGGCGCAAGCCUGAUCCAGCCAUGCCGCGUGCAGGAUGAAGGCCUUCGGGUUGUAAACUGCUUUUGUACGGAACGAAACGGCCUUUUCUAAUAAAGAGGGCUAAUGACGGUACCGUAAGAAUAAGCACCGGCUAACUACGUGCCAGCAGCCGCGGUAAUACGUAGGGUGCAAGCGUUAAUCGGAAUUACUGGGCGUAAAGCGUGCGCAGGCGGUGAUGUAAGACAGUUGUGAAAUCCCCGGGCUCAACCUGGGAACUGCAUCUGUGACUGCAUCGCUGGAGUGCGGCAGAGGGGGAUGGAAUUCCGCGUGUAGCAGUGAAAUGCGUAGAUAUGCGGAGGAACACCGAUG
rnacentral:rRNA from 1 species